UACGUAGGGGGCAAGCGUUGUCCGGAUUUAUUGGGCGUAAAGAGCGUGUAGGCGGCCAUACAGGUCCGUUGUGAAAACUGGAGGCUUAACCUCCAGACGUCGAUGGAAACCGUAUGGCUAGAGUCCGGAAGAGGAGAGUGGAACUCCUGGUGUAGCGGUGAAAUGCGCAGAUAUCAGGAAGAACACCCGUGGCGAAGGCGGCUCUCUGGGACGGUACUGACGCUGAGACGCGAAAGCGUGGGGAGCGAACAGG
rnacentral:rRNA from 1 species